CUUAAAUAACAGCAGCAAUUUUUCCUUACAAUGCCAACACAAUUACUGCUCUGGAAAAAGGCUAGAUGUCAGAAAAGACAAAGUACAUCACACAGAUGGAACGUACCAGAAGACCGCUUCCUUAUGUCGGGCAGACAUAUUUUAACUGGUAAGAUCAUCCAGAGCAAUGAGGUGAAGCGGUUUCUAUAAAUACAGGAUCAGUGGAAUUUUUAAAAACCAGAUUAAAGGCAGUGACAGAAAACAACAACCAACCACUGUAAGACCAUUAUGCCUAAAGCCCCAAAAACGAAACCGGUAAUUCAUCUGCUGCACAAGUCAUUCUAUACUUUGUCCAAAAUUACAUGGGGUAGCAUUAACUAUCUGCCUAAUAAUAGAUUUAUAGUUGCCUAUUAACAGAACUAUGGUCAGUCCAUAAAGAUGUUGAUGGACAUUCCUCUUCUCUUAGAGUACAGAAAGGGCCAAAUCAAAAUGCUCUUAACAGAAACAACACACACAGAAAACCCCUCAAAUUGCAGGUCAUUCCAUCACCUCAUUUUACCAACUGCAACAGAGAAUUGUUCUUCUACACAAAAUUACACAGCAGAUCACAGGGACCUACACAGAGCCUGGAGCACCAAGCAGCUCUUCCUUUGGGGAAUGCCACACUGGCUGUUGGUUUUUUCCUUUAAUGACUUUGUCACUUGGAAAGGGAAACUAUCUUACAGUCUGUUCCUCAUCAUCCUCAUUCCUCCUUUUAUCAACUUCAAAAAUUCACCUAAUUAUCCCAAAGCAUAAACAGGGUCUGUGAGUAGCCACCAGCAAGGGCAGGAAGCAAGAAUGGUUCACAGUUUUCCCUUUUCUUAAUGAAAGAUGGCACAAGCCUUGAGUCUUACCUAGGGAAACAUCUGAAAUCAUUAAGAAUCUCAUCAUUUCAUCAAACCUAGUGAAGAAAGUCUUGUCUACAUGUUAUUUUUUACCAAGACAAAAUUACUGAAAACAGUGCAGCUACCUGUAGACAGUAGUUAAUUACAGUGUUAAAAAUAAUAUUACUAUUACUAUUGUACUAUAUUACUAUUGUGAAACCUUUAAAAUAUUAACAUCACCCCAAUGAUUAAGGGUAUCCUUUCAAUAACUGUCUAUGAUUAACACAAAGAGCAGAUUGCAUUUCUGUAGCCCAUAAGUUGCUUUUGCUACAAACACCAGAAAUAAUUCUCACCUCUUAAGACAAACAAUCAGGCCAUAAAUACAUAUUUUACUGAAAUUCAUCAAAAUCUGGGUAUCAGUACAGUUCCCUAGACACCACCUUCAUUUCAGUGCCUCCUCCAUAAGCAACUGAGGGAUAAUCUCAGGGUGUUUGCAGAAAAACAAGGAAAAAACCAAAACAAAAUCCCAAAAAACCCUGAAAUAUCAGUAGUCUCCAUUUGAAUUGGAGAAUAUGGACUAAUAAAACUGAAGUGAGUUUAUGAA